UGGCGUAGAUAUCGUCACC
rnacentral:snRNA from 1 species